rnacentral:rRNA from 1 species
GACGAACGCUGGCGGCGUGCUUAACACAUGCAAGUCGAACGAUGAAGCUGGAGCUUGCUCCGGUGGAUUAGUGGCGAGCGGGUGAGUAACACGUGAGCAAUCUGCCCUUGACUCUGGGAUAACUGCGGGAAACUGUAGCUAAUACCGGAUACGAGGCUCGAAGGCAUCUUCGGGUCUGGAAAGAAUUUCGGUCAAGGAUGAGCUCGCGGCCUAUCAGCUUGUUGGUGAGGUAAUGGCUCACCAAGGCGACGACGGGUAGCCGGCCUGAGAGGGUGACCGGCCACACUGGGACUGAGACACGGCCCAGACUCCUACGGGAGGCAGCAGUGGGGAAUAUUGCACAAUGGGCGAAAGCCUGAUGCAGCAACGUCGCGUGAGGGAUGAAGGCCUUCGGGUUGUAAACCUCUUUUAGCAGGGAAGAAGCGAAAGUGACGGUACCUGCAGAAAAAGCACCGGCUAACUACGUGCCAGCCGCCGCAGUAA